rnacentral:rRNA from 1 species
UACGUAGGGUCCGAGCGUUGUCCGGAAUUACUGGGCGUAAAGCGUGCGCAGGCGGCCCGCGAGGUGUCACGUGAAAGCCCCGGGCUCAACCUGGGAACUGCAUCUGUGACUGCAUCGCUGGAGUACGGCAGAGGGGGAUGGAAUUCCGCGUGUAGCAGUGAAAUGCGUAGAUAUGCGGAGGAACACCGAUGGCGAAGGCAAUCCCCUGGGCCUGUACUGACGCUCAUGCACGAAAGCGUGGGGAGCAAACAGG